GUUUUUCUUUCUUUUUUUCAAGUUUUUCAUCAAUGAUUGACGCCUUUAGGUUGGCAAUGCCAUGUAAGAUAAUGUCAUUUUUUUGUCAAUACUUUAACUUUUUUUUAAUGUUUACUUGGUAGUUAUUCCCUCUAACCCCUCCAAGAUGUCCUUACCGUCAAAAACCCUAUUCCUUAUCUUAAUAUCCACCUAGCCUAACCUUUACCGUAACCAACCAUCAAACUGAACACAAAAGCCAACUUCAGAGUUGCAUAGUGGGGCUAUGCAACAGAUUAGUUUGAUUGCACCAAAUCCACCACCCAGGCCUCAUGUUUGAAGUGCUUUACGAUGGCUUAAUAAUUAGUCAUCAAUUAAUUAUCAAUAAUGAGUUACCAUUUUACCCACUUGGACUCAGUCCACUGUAUCAGACCAACACAAUACAAGUACAAUCGCUGUCUAAAUAAGGCACAUUGUCACGCCAGAGAGCUACCAGUAACACCAUUAUAAAAAUACAAAUGGCUCUGACCAUCUGACCAUCCUGUCCAGCCAGCCUCCCUCUUUGUGACAGUCCCACAGCUGCGGGCCUCCCAUGGACUCUUCUGGAAGGGCAGUGGUGGGACCCAUGCUGGCUGGGUUAUGGGGUCAGGGGAGAAACACUGAGAGACACAGAGAGACACACAGAGAGACAAGAGAGAGACGGGCCUUAACCAGCCCUGCGUCACAAUAGUCACAUAUGUUCCCACCUGUUUAGAGUGCUAGCCGACUGACUGAACCACGCCAUCGUGUGCAAAUUAGUGUGAAAGUGGGAACUCCAAACCACCGAGCCAUAGUGAGCAAACCAUACAUAUAGCCAACCUAUCGCCACCGCUGUCACCGUCGCCGCUGUGAACCAAUUGGUCCUCUUGGGAGUAUCACAUGUAUGCACGUGUCCCAUGUAGCCCCUUAUAAGUGGUUUCAGCAGUCGGUCAUGACCAUCCAGGAACAUGUCCACUGUACCGCUGGUGCCUGUGUGUUUAUAGCAACCGGUGUACACAGAUAAGGUUGGUCUGGACGUGAGUGCUGUGUCUGCUGUGAUAUUUUAAUCGGACUAAGUAAUGCAUUUACUUGCAACGUUUCACUGAAGUGGUUUUAGCGCAGGCUGUAUAUGUACAGUACUCAUGGCCCAUUACGGAUUUGAUUCAGGGAUUUUAACCAUGUCACUGUUAUGCUGUUCUACAUGCUACU
ensembl:lncRNA